rnacentral:rRNA from 1 species
GAUCAUGGCUCAAGAUGAACGCUGGCGGCGUGCUUAACACAUGCAAGUCGAGCGAAGCAAUCUAAGUGAAGUUUUCGGAUGAAUCUUAGAUUGACUGAGCGGCGGACGGGUGAGUAACGCGUGGAUAACCUGCCUCACACAGGGGGAUAACAGUUAGAAAUGACUGCUAAUACCGCAUAAGCGCACAGUACCGCAUGGUACAGUGUGAAAAACUCCGGU